rnacentral:rRNA from 1 species
UAACCGCUGAAAGCAUCUAAGUGGGAAGCCCACCUCAAGAUGAUUGCUCUCACCACUUUUUGUGGGUAAGGUCACGGGCAGAACACCCGUUUAUAGGUGUUAGGUCGAAGUCCAGCGAUGGAUGUAGCCGAGACACACUAACAGACCGAGGGCUUGACCUCAUUU